rnacentral:rRNA from 1 species
AAAGGAAUUGACGGGGGCCCGCACAAGCGGUGGAGCAUGUGGUUUAAUUCGAAGCUACGCGAAGAACCUUACCAGGUCUUGACAUCUUGCGCCAACCCUAGAGAUAGGGCGUUUCCUUCGGGAACGCAAUGACAGGUGGUGCAUGGUCGUCGUCAGCUCGUGUCGUGAGAUGUUGGGUUAAGUCCCGCAACGAGCGCAACCCUUGUUACUAGUUGCCAGCAUUCAGUUGGGCACUCUAGUGAGACUGCCGGUGACAAACCGGAGGAAGGUGGGGACGACGUCAGAUCAUCAUGCCCCUUAUGACCUGGGCUACACACGUGCUACAAUGGACGGUACAACGAGUCGCGAACUCGCGAGGGCAAGCUAAUCUCUUAAAACCGUUCUCAGUUCGGACUGCAGGCUGCAACUCGCCUGCACGAAGUCGGAAUCGCUAGUAAUCGCGGAUCAGCAUGCCGCGGUGAAUACGUUCCCGGGCCUUGUACACACCGCCCGUCACACCAUGAGAGUUUGCAACACCCAAAGUCGGUGGGGUAACCCUUCGGGGAGCUAGCCGCCUAAGGUGGGGCAGAUGAUUAGGGUGAAGUCGUAACAAGGUAGCCGUAGGAGAACCUGCGGCUG